UUACCCAUAUUAGGACUGUCCAUCAUUCCGUUGUACGAACAGUAAUCUCACUGUCCAGCCUAGUCCCUAUCUCAGCUACAGACUGCCCAAAGAUUUUGUAGAUCUUUCCACUGGAGAAGAUGUUCACAAAUUAAUUGACUUGCUCAAGCUGAAAAGAAAUCAGCAAGAUGAUGAAGAAUCAUGAAGUCAGCAUAAAAUUAAAGCCAGAGAUGAGGAGGCCAUAGCGUUAUGGGGGAAGAUAACAUUUUAACAGCACCAACGCUAAGAAUGUUUGCUUUUUAUUUUAACCUUACAGAACUGAGAUGCUUUCAAUCUUGUGUAGGCAUUUAAUUGAAUAAAUAUGUUUUCAGAUGA